GACGAACGCUGGCGGCAGGCCUAACACAUGCAAGUCGAGCGGAUGAGUGGAGCUUGCUCCAUGAUUCAGCGGCGGACGGGUGAGUAAUGCCUAGGAAUCUGCCUGGUAGUGGGGGACAACGUUUCGAAAGGAACGCUAAUACCGCAUACGUCCUACGGGAGAAAGCAGGGGACCUUCGGGCCUUGCGCUAUCAGAUGAGCCUAGGUCGGAUUAGCUAGUAGGUGAGGUAAUGGCUCACCUAGGCGACGAUCCGUAACUGGUCUGAGAGGAUGAUCAGUCACACUGGAACUGAGACACGGUCCAGACUCCUAUGGGAGGCAGCAGUGGGGAAUAUUGGACAAUGGGCGAAAGCCUGAUCCAGCCAUGCCGCGUGUGUGAAGAAGGUCUUCGGAUUGUAAAGCACUUUAAGUUGGGAGGAAGGGCAGUAGGUUAAUACCUUGCUGUUUUGACGUUACCAACAGAAUAAGCACCGGCUAACUUCGUGCCAGCCGCCGCAGUAA
rnacentral:rRNA from 1 species